UCUUUUAUUUACGUCUGCAGUACGAACGUUUUGAACUAACCCGCUUAGUACACUGGGCUAGAGGGCGCAUUUGGCCAUGUGAUACGCUCAGCAAGUAGAAAUCGUUAUGACGUCACACGGCAAAAUCGAUCAUUGAAAGAUUCAACAACAACAUUCAAAGAUUUCUAGCCUGUUGUCGUUAAUAAUAAAACUUGAAAUAGACAGGAGAAAGGUCUGGACUCUAUACAGAAGUCAGUACAUGUAGCAGAUGUACAAUGGAUUCCAGUAAAAAGUUUGAAUGUUCAUUAUGCUUAAGAAAGUUCAUACAGAAACGCCAUCUGAAAAAUCAUCUAGAUCAAUCCCAUGGUAAAGCGCAACAAAAUAUCUACCAGUAUGAAGAAGUCAACAUCAAUAGAAGAAAAGUGUUCAGUUGCUCCAUUUGCAGCAGACGGUUUAGGCAGAAACGAAGUAUUGUACAGCAUCAGGUUCGUCACCACAGUAAG